rnacentral:rRNA from 1 species
GAUGAACGCUGGCGGCGUGCCUAAUACAUGCAAGUCGAGCGAACAGACGAGGAGCUUGCUCCUCUGACGUUAGCGGCGGACGGGUGAGUAACACGUGGAUAACCUACCUAUAAGACUGGGAUAACUUCGGGAAACCGGAGCUAAUACCGGAUAAUAUAUUGAACCGCAUGGUUCAAUAGUGAAAGACAGUUUUGCUGUCACUUAUAGAUGGAUCCGCGCCGCAUUAGCUAGUUGGUAAGGUAACGGCUUACCAAGGCAACGAUGCGUAGCCGACCUGAGAGGGUGAUCGGCCACACUGGAACUGAGACACGGUCCAGACUCCUACGGGAGGCAGCAGUAGGGAAUCUUCCGCAAUGGGCGAAAGCUUGACGGAGCAACGCCGCGUGAGGGAUGAAGGUCUUCGGAUCGUAAAACUCUGUUAUUAGGGAAGAACAAAUGUGUAAGUAACUAUGCACGUCUUGACGGUACCUAAUCAGAAAGCCACGGCUAACUACGUG